UGAUCAAAGAUUUAUCGGUACACCGAUGGGGAUGCGUACGAUUAGUUAGUCGGCGGGGUAACGGCCCGACCGAGACGACGAUCCGUUAGGGGUUCUGAGAGGAAGGUCCCCACAUAGGAACUGAGACACGGUCCUAACUCCUACGGGAGGCAGCAGUGAGGAAUAUUGGUCAAUGGGCGAGAGCCUGAACCAGCCAAGUAGCGUGAAGGAUGACUGCCCUACGGGUUUGUAAACUUCUUUUAUGCGGGAAUAACCUCCACUACGCGUAGUGGUCUGCAUGUACCGCAUGAAUAAGCAUCGGCUAAUUCCGUGCC
rnacentral:rRNA from 1 species